rfam:Schistosoma rodhaini strain Burundi genome assembly, scaffold: SROB_scaffold0002039
AUCCAUCUAAUGAGUCCGAAAUAGGACGAAACGCGCGUCAAACUGAAU